GUUUAUCUUCGAGUUUUGUGCUUUGCACAAAACAUCGCAUUAUUGUAUGCAGUUUGUGAACAAACUGCUUGAAAAAACUUUUUUCGCAAAUUGAUAUUUGCUGCAAAAAGUUUUUAUGGGA
rfam:Treponema denticola ATCC 35405, complete genome.